AAUCAACGCUGGCGGCGUGCCUCAGACAUGCAAGUCGAACGAUUAAAGCUCUCUUCGGAGAGUGCAUAGAGUGGCGCACGGGUGAGUAACACGUAAGUAAUCUACCUUCGAGUGGGGAAUAACGUCCGGAAACGGACGCUAAUACCGCAUAAUGCAGCGGCAUCGCAAGAUGACAGUUGUUAAAGAUUUAUCGCUUGAAGAGGAGCUUGCGGCAGAUUAGCUAGUUGGUAAGGUAAUGGCUUACCAAGGCUACGAUCUGUAACCGGUCUAAGAGGACGGUCGGUCACACUGACACUGAAUAACGGGUCAGACUCCUACGGGAGGCAGCAGUCGGGAACUUUGGGCAAUGGGCGAAAGCCUGACCCAGCAACGCCGCGUGAAGGAUGAAGUAUUUCGGUAUGUAAACUUCGAAAGAAUAGGAAGAAU
rnacentral:rRNA from 1 species